rnacentral:lncRNA from 1 species
AUUUUGGGCUCUAGUUAGAUUAUUGAUCAAUUUAAAAAAUAAAUGACGGAUGAACGAAUGGCGAUCCACUGGACCGCAGUAUUUUACUCUGACUGAGCACCGACCACAUCCUUCGCUAUCUAAAUACAGCUGUCCAGGGCCGAAAAGUUUCAAUAAAACCGCUCUCAGAUAAAACGUCUUUGUUUAAACAGCCCUAAACAACUUCAACAUCUUCCAUUAUCGUUCAGUUCAAAUUUAAGUCCACGUGGAAAUUCCUGUACAUGGUAACCACGGAAUUAAUUUGCAGGGAGAAACAGGAAAUACAAAAAAAAGAUUGACUUGGUUUCUGACCAAUCAGAGCUAAUGUUGCCUUAUAAUUGGAGUCGCAGUCGCAGACUCGAGAUCUGAUUGGUUAUCGCCUGGCGACACAAGCCUGGUGAAAUAUGAUUGGAUAAAAACUUUACAAUAAUAUACAACGGUUGGAGCGGCGAAACAAAGCGGAUAUAAUAUGACGCGAAGAAAACAGACCAUGGCGAAUCAUUUUAUCUACAAAGAAAAUCUGACCAUGUUUAGGCUAGCAGAGAUCGCUUAGCUGCGUCUGAUUGCGGCCCCUUUGCGUGGUCACGCACGUCCGUGCACGUGCGUCAAAACCAUGGUAACCGGCGCUGAGUUAAUAAAAGAAGGGCAGCCGUGUGAUUUUACACAUUUGCCUCUGGUCUUGGAGACAUUGACAGCAAAACAAAAGUCUGUGACCACAUUAAUUUGUUUUGCAGAAGCAAUGGAGCGCCACUUGCCCCCGAGGAUCUGGGAGCUCUGGACACGGUUCAGACGGUGGAGCCGCGGAGGCAGACAGCGGUGGCAGCCGGAGGGGGAAGUUGCUGUGCACGGUCGUCCACCUAGGCGUUGGAGGACUCGCUUUGAGCGAGCCACUUCCCACGUUCUGGAAGUUGGCCCCCCCACCUCUGGCAUUGAGGACUCAGGCUCCACAGUGGAAGGGACCAGUGAGGACUUAGCGGUUGGGGAAACCAACGAGGCUCCUAGCAGCGGCAGCAGCAGCAGCACACCUGGUAGAGGUAGGGAGGACAGUGAUGAGGAGGGGGCUGCUCCCAAAAGACCAUGUUUUACUGUGAGACACUGUGUCACACAGUAA